CCAAUGGGACCGCGGCUCCGGAGCCGGCGCGCGGGGAGCCCGCCCCCCGCGCGGCGGCUCUCGAGGCGGGCGCAGGGCUCAGACGCUGCGGGCACGUCCGCUCCCGCAGCGCCGGCGCGCCCGGACAAGCCGGGUCUCUCCAGCCCCGCCGACUUUUAAGCGUUCGUUCGCCCGGGCUCCUCGCUUUUCCACCGCUCCUCGCUCCCGCAGACCCUCCGCUCUGCUCCGUCCCGUCGUUCUGCAGAAACAGAAGCCACACCUCCUGGCAUCCUGUCCACAGGGGGUGCCCCAGAGCUUACCCAAACCCAGAGAAUCUUCGAGUGCUCCAGGAUCACUGCACAGGCGUGGCACGGGGAGUAGUCAGGAGCUUGAACAACGUUGCGGGACUGUCACUUGUGCCAGGUUCUCUCGUGCCCACUUGCACUGCUGACGAAUAGAACCGGAAUCAACCCAGACCAAUGAUCCCGUCCAUAUUUAACUUGAGAGAAAUUUCAACUCUGAAUGAAUGGACUCUGGGAAAUCCCGGGUCUUGCUGAGAAGGGGGGAGAUCCAGAGAAAUCUGGUAACAGCAGGGAGAUGCCAGCGUAUCUGGGAUGUGUCCAUCAUCCAAGAGUUGCGGAGAUCUGCUCCUGCUGGAGCACUGUUGGAAUUCUCAGAACCAGAAUUUUGAAUUUGUAGGGGGGGGCCUUCAGAAUUGGUCUUUACAUCAAGAGGACAGAGAGGGAAGAAUUUAACUUCAUUCGGCACCGGUAUUCUAGGCUUGAAUUGGUUGGAGAUGAUGGAAAAUCUGUUGAUGAAAAUUAUACAAACCUUGGUUCUUUGUGUUAACCAGGUCUCCCUUUUUUUGAGAUAAAGUAAACUUGUAUUUUAAGUUCAGAUGUCUUGGGACACCUGAGUGGCUCAGUCGGUUAAGCCUCUGACUUUGGCUCAGGUUAUGAUCUCACAGUUCGUGGGUUCGAGCCCCUGCAUCCGGCUCUGUGCUGACAGCCCAGAGCCUGGAGUCUGCUUCAGUUUCUAUGUCUCCCUCUCUCUCUGCCCCGCUGGUGCUCUCUCUCUCUCUCUUUUAAAAAUAAGUAAACAUUAAAAAAGUAAUAAAGUAAAAAUAAGUUCAGAUGCCUUUGCAAAAUCUCUGAGAAUAACAAACUGUGAACCAUUACUUUUCUUUGAAGACUGGAGGUAGCAAAAUCUUGUGAAGACACUCUAAAACCUAGACCCUGUGUGUGCUUCGGAGCCCUGAAGAAGCCUGGAUAUCUAAAUCUCAAAUGUAGUCACGAGCCUAAACCUAGGAGUGAAGGAAACAAUAGAAACUUAUAUAGUCAGCACAUCAUUGACUACUACCAAGAAAUGUUUUGUGUUUGGUAGAAUCUGCACCUUUCUGACAUAUCUAACAUUUGAUGUUCAUAGAUGGCGUUCUCCCUCCCUCUCUGGUACAACUUGUUCCUGGGACCUAACU